CGGAUCAGGUAGGGAUACCCGCUGAACUUAAACAUAUCAAAUCG
rnacentral:rRNA from 1 species